rnacentral:rRNA from 1 species
AUGUGACAUGGGCGAAGCCUGACCGCAAUGCCGCGUGCAGGAAGAAGGCCUUCGGGUUGUAAACUGCUUUUGUACGGAACGAAACGGUCUGCCCUAAUACGGCGGGCUAAUGACGGUACCGUAAGAAUAAGCACCGGCUAACUACGUGCCAGCAGCCGCGGUAAUACGUAGGGUGCGAGCGUUAAUCGGAAUUACUGGGCGUAAAGCGUGCGCAGGCGGUUAUGUAAGACAGUUGUGAAAUCCCCGGGCUCAACCUGGGAAUUGCAUCUGUGACUGCAUAGCUAGAGUACGGUAGAGGGGGAUGGAAUUCCGCGUGUAGCAGUGAAAUGGGGAGAUAUGCGGAGGAACACCGAUGGCGAAGGCAAUCCCCUGGACCUGUACUGACGCUCAUGCACGGAA